rnacentral:snRNA from 1 species
AGAGAUUGGUCUUUUGGCUAAGAUAAAGUGUAAUAUUUGUCCUUAUCUGUUUAAUAUAUGAUAUCUGGACUAUAUGUUCACUUCAAUAUUAAAUUUAUUUUCAUGGAUAUUUUUGUGGGAAGGGUCCGCCACAUUGGCUUAUUAGGUCGUAUGUGUCGCUCAACAGACUGCUGGUAGGUCCUUACGUACCCUACCAUCAGCCGCAACACA